UAUCAUUGAGUUAUACGUUCGAAAUCCUUGAUAGAUGUUUGAGCUUUUACAUUAUUAACAUUUAAUGUCACAUGUCACUGACUUUAGCAUAUAAUUAUUUUAGUAGUUAUUUUUUUAUGUGAAUAUUACGUGAAAACAUUGAAUCGACUUGAACUGCUCAAGACUAUUGAUUUUAAAUUUAAUACGAAUCGAUUCAAAUUGAUCAAUGUUUAAAUUUCUCUUCC
rnacentral:lncRNA from 1 species